rnacentral:tmRNA from 1 species
GGGCCUGAUUGGAAUUGACGGGAGGCCUUGUAGGUAAACCGGCGUGCCGUGGGUGUAUAAUAACCACGUUAAUCCAUUAUGCAACAAAUUUCAAACGGCGAGCCUAGCUACGCCAUGGCUGCUUAAUCUUAGAGAUUAACCACCAUUUGCCCUGCGCUUGAGGUACCAUACACAGCGCACUGGCAACCAAAAACUGGUAACGUACGUUUAAAGUCUCAUCCACUUUAAGCUGUAUGAACGACGGAUGUAAGAAGAAGGUUGGAGGGUUACUUAUCCUGCCCUAUUCCGACAAAUCAAUAAGUAACUACGCAUCGUAGAAAGUUUAUCGCCAACUUAUCCGGACGUGGGUUCGAUUCCCACCAGGUCCACCC